GCAGAUACAGGCACACAGCUCUUUCACUGGUGAGACGUUUUUGGUGGAACCCACUGGCUCACAGUAUCAAUAAUUUACCGGGCAGGACCCUGUGGACAGCGGUGACACUGCCAAGAACCGAGUCAGUUUUACUCUAGUGCUGCCCCCAGUUAGCACCGGGUACGGGACUGUUGUCCACUACAGGGGUAUACGUGACCUCCGAUCCUCAAGCCAGCACAAUAGCCCAUUUCUCAUGCCUAAGAAACAAGGUGAUCUAAGGUGAAAAUGAAGAGCUAGCAAUUUCCAUGGUGUG